rfam:Aedes albopictus isolate Foshan contig131650, whole genome shotgun sequence.
CCAACGGUCCUUUUCAGGACCACAGAAAGUCUAUCCAAAAGAGUUA